rnacentral:rRNA from 1 species
UACAGAGGUGGCAAGCGUUGUUCGGAAUUACUGGGCGUAAAGGGCGCGUAGGCGGUUCGAUAAGUCCCGUGUGAAAUCCCUCGGCUCAACUGAGGAAUGGCACGGGAAACUGACGGGCUUGAGUUCGGGAGAGGGAAGCGGAAUUCCGGGUGUGAGCGGUGGAAUGCGUAGAGAUACCGGAAGAACACCGGAGGCGAAGGCGGCUUGCUGGGCUUGGUCUGACGCUGAGGCGCGAAAGCGUGGGGAGCGAACAGG